rnacentral:lncRNA from 1 species
UUGGCUUGAAAUCCUUAUUUUUCCUUGCUUGGAAGAUGAUUAUGAUGUUUGAGAGGUUGAUUUAAUUGUGACAGAAAUACCCUGUGUGAGAAUUUGAGCCACUUGCUAUUCUUUCUUGUGUCUGAUAUGUCUCUUGAUUGCUUGCACUUAUGCCUUGGCUUGACUCUUGUUGAUAAUUCUUGAUUCAUGUGCAUGUUUGAAAGUGAUAAAGGCAUUUUGUUGUUGAGCCUUUCUAGCCAAAUGAGCCUACCUUGUUGUGAUCCUUUGAUAGCCCCUUUGAGCCUUUACUUUUCCCAUUUCUUUGUUUUGAAGCUUAUACACUAGCCCCUAAGUGAAAAACAAUGUUUACCUUAACCUUAGGGAAUUUUGGAGCUUUGGAAUUGUUUUGGGAAUAAGUGUGGUCUCUUAGGAGUUGCAGAUGAAUUGGCUAGUGAGUCCUCUUCUUGCGGUUGCAUUGUAAAUAUCAUGUAUCUUGUCUCUUAGAAUUUUGUUCUGAAAAGAGAGAAAAGAAAAGAGACAAGAUGAAAAAAAAAAGAAAAAAAAUAAAUACAGAAAAAUGAGAAAAAUUAAAAAAAAACAUGUGAAUAAUGGAGUCAAGAAGAGGAUUGAAUUAGAGGUUUUGGGUGUGAUUUGACUGUGUUUACACUUGUUCCCCAUUGCUCCUCUAUUCCUUUUGGUUUGUAGCUUCUGAUCCAUAUUUAUCCUCCCUUUUCCUUGGCCCCAUUACAUCCAUAANAGACCUUUUGAUUUGAACAUGCAUAUGUUUUUGAGUGUUGAUAUUAGAGGCUUGCCAAGUCUAUUGUUGCUUGUUUUCUUGAGUGCAUUGAGUUGAAUUGUUUACCCUAGACACUUGAGAGAAACAUUGAUAGUGUGCAUCUGUGAGGUUCUGUUGCUUU